GGAUGUGAGGGUGAUCUGGCUGUGACAUCUGUCACCCUAUUGAUCGCCAGGGUUGAUUUGGCUGAUCUGGCUGGCUAGGAGGGUGUCUCCUUCCUCCCUUACCACUCCAUGUGUGUCCCUCCCGAAGCUCGGUGGAAGAGAACGGCCUUCCCCGAAUAGAGACGGACUGACUGGUCUUCGGUCAAGGAUAUACGAGUAGCUGUGCUCACCUGCUAGAACCUCCAAACAAGCUCUCAAGUCUAGGGUUCCUGACUGCCAGCUGUGGGGUUGUGGGCAGGUGAUGUCACUUCCCUGAGGCUCAGCCCUAAGCUUGUGAGUGAAUGAGCACACACCAA
ensembl:misc_RNA 7SK 7SK RNA